rnacentral:misc_RNA from 1 species
GCAAACGCGCGUUCGAGCUGUUUAAGGGAUGGAAACGUUGGAGCGUAAGCCUGCGUUUUCCGUUCGAAAAAACAAUGCUUCAGCCGGAGGUUUCUUAUGAUGGAGUACACAUUCGUAGUCGUCAUACUGGCGGCUUUGUUUGGCGGGGGUACUGCCUUUGCGCAGGAGAACAGCGGCACUUCCGAGCAGAGGGCCGCGUGCACGCCCGAUGCCUUCCGGCUAUGCGCUAGCUUCAUUCCUGACGCCACGAAUGUGGAGGC